UGGGAGGUAAAUUUCUCCUAAGGCUAAAUAACGGCGAGAGACCGAUAGCGAACAAGUACCGUGAGGGAAAGAUGAAAAGGACUUCGAAAAGAGAGUUAAACAGUACGUGAAAUUGUUGAAAGGGAAACGAUUGAAGCCAGUCGUACCUAUGGGUAAUCAGCCUUUUGGGUGUGAUUUUGUGGAGCGUGAAGAGUUAAACGCCUUCAUGCCUGCAUAUUCGUGCACUUUGGGUGUACUUGCCCGUGUGUAAGUUAACAUCAAUUUUGGUGGUCAUAAAAUGGCUGGAGGAAUGUAGCUUCGAUCUUGUAUUGAAGUGUUAUAGCCUUCGGUAGAUGUGACGAUCGGGAUUGAGGAUUGCAACGGAUACCCUUCGGGGCUACCUGUCUGAUCUCUGAUUGUUGCUCUGGUACCGAAAGCUUGCUUACGGUUAUCAAAGUCGAUGGUCAAUAGGUUAGAACAGGUUAAAUUCGUUAAGGAUGUUGACGUAAUGGCUUUAAACGACCCGUCUUGAAACACGGACCAAGGAGUCUAACAUAUAUGCGAGUGUUAGGGUGAAUAAACCCUUACGCGUAAUGAAAGUAAUUUUGGUGGGUUCACUUUUGUGCACCAUCGACC
rnacentral:rRNA from 1 species